CUCACAUGUGGCCAUCGAGGCAAACUAACGUUCCGACCCUGAAAAUAACAUUCAUGGUGGAACUCGAUCUGCAGCUCGAAAUACCCAAAACGCUGAGGAAAACGGAAUCAGCUUGCGUAUGAUUUUUGAAAUCAUUUGAGUUUAUAUGUAAAAGGAGCUUUUCACUAUUUUUCUAAAAAAGAAUUAUUAUUUUAAAUGAUUGAAUCGUUUUAAUCACAUCUACAAUCACCUAGAAUAAGCAUUUGCAUGCGAUUCUCAAUGUUUUAUCCUUUAUAUUAAGGGUGUAUGAUUCGCCUUGAGUGUAUUCCAUUUAUUAAACCGGUUCAUUUUGCUCCGCACAAAUUUAACAUAUUUAAAGUUGACCUAAUUUGUAAUCCAAAUUGGAAAAUUAUUAUUUAAAUUGUUUUUUUGUUUGUUUGGUAGGUUGUACUAUAUAAUAAUGGGAUAUCAAUUGGGUGGGCUCACUUGUCAAUUUUCCAUAAACCCCAGCCCAAAAACAUAAGACGGAUAUGCUCCGCAUAUUCCUUGUUCGUCUCUGUCAAGUUCCCAAUGAGUUCACUGUGCAUUUGUGCUUGCCUCUCCAUAUGGAGAAUUCACGGGUCGAUUUCUGCUUUCACGGGUCGAUAUCUGCUUCUGCUUGCCGUUGGAUGAAUAUGUUCUCCUCUAUGUAUUCAAUGCCAAUGGAGGAAAACAAAUCAUCCAAGAAGAAUAGAAAGUGUUUGAUAAUAACUUGUUGUAAUUCUUCUUGGCUAUAUAGCCAAGAUUAAUUACAAUAAGCUACUAAUCAAACACUGAAGAAAAUAUCUCAUUGCAUCAGUUUUGUAUACUCUUUUUGCCUUGGUGCUUGUUUCUUUCAAAUUAAGAUAGUAUUUUGUAUAGUACAAGGACAAAAUUUGCAUAUUUUCUAUAUAUCUCCUGAUCUGUUUUCGAAACCCUAGACAGAGUUUUACAAGAGAGCUUUGAGUUUAGAAGAUGUACUCCUGUUAGUCUUGACUUUGAAAUGCCGGAAAAGGGGACAUCACCAUUUAUAUAUGUAGGUUUUUUUUAUCUGAAGUAACACCUCUUUUCUCAGUUAUUUUUUUAUGGUUUUAUACUGUUCUUCAGUGUAAAACUGUCCAUUGCUCACUAUUUUUGAGAAGGUAAUGUAAGCUUAUAGAUUAAUAAGCACCAAAAAGGUUACUUAUGGCUGCCAAAAGGAAAGUAUCCUUUCUAUGCAUGUAGGGAAUUCCGGGAUUAUUUCGGCCUCAUUUACAAUUGCUUGAUGUUUUUACCCUUUUCAUUAGCUCCCCCUUUCUGAUUAAAACCGAACUUUCUUAGUUUGACAAUAUGGAUAAUGGUGGCGGAGACAGGACAUUCAAAUGCUAAAAUGCCACAGCGGGGAGUCGAAAUGAUGACCUAAAACAUUUUUGUCACUACAAAAGAAACUUCCGUUGUGUUAAUGGGAUUCAACAAUCAAUACAUGUACAUUUGAAAAGAAAAAAAAAGGCUAAUAAUAUUCAAUUAUGACCAGAGAUGCUUCCAUAUAAAAUAGAAAAGAUUCAUCCAUCUAGAAAGAAGCUAAUAAUAUUCUGUUGUAGGUUUGAAUCUUACUUGGAGAGAUUUGAUUAAUUCUGGUUUCUUUACUUCACAUAAAAGUGUUUCUAUCUAUCCCACACCAACAUGACAAUGCCUGCAUCCCUACUGUUUCACAGAUUUUUGGCUGAUUCACUAUAGAUGGUUUUAUCUUCUGAUCUGAAGGUUCUGGGUUCUGACUGUUUGCUGUUUUCCCUCUGCAUGUACUUUUAUAUGUGAGGAAGAUAGGUGGUCAUGACUGAUUUUUUCCGCUUUUCAUUAUGUAACACUAAUACAAGUGAAGUUACCAAUGAAUUAGAUAGCACAUCGUGCUAUUCUUUGGCUGAAAUCAUUUGCCAGUAAAUUUAGUUGAUUUAUCAAGAUUCAAGUACAGUAUUCCAACUGCCAGAUAUCACUACCAUAGUUGACACUUGCCGCACAAAAAAGGGAUACUGUAGGUUUAAAGUGAGCAGGCUCAAUCUGAGAUUUCACGAGGCACCAGAAAUUUUGCUUACGAUCGUUUGUGCUGUAUUUCUUGCGUCGAGAGAGAUAAUUUUCUUCUAAAAGGGUUGUUGCACCAUCCUCACUCGUUUAUUGGUUCCCAAUUGUUGUUGGAUACAGGCUCGCCAAAGCCAUCAGAGAAUCCGCAUUGUACGGAUUGUGACAACUACUGACAAUCAACGAAUUGUAGGGUUGCUUAUCCCGGAUGCAGCAGUAGAACCAGUGCUUCAAGAAAAGAAAGCAGCUUUGAAUAUUCAUGGAGAUGGAGCUUUUGAGAAUUAGGGCCUUUUUUACAUCUGAUAAUGGAGAAAGGGUAGAGGAAAGUCGGGUAUGAAUGAGACUCCAACGGUAAAAUUUAAUACUGUUAAAAGGGGAGUGAUUUUACCCCUCCUAGAGGCCCCACGCGCGACGAGGAUCACUCAAUGUGACAUGUCAGUGUUUUGUGUUUAAAUGAUACAUGAGGUAAGGGGUUGGAGUGUCAAAAUGGAAAAGGCCUAAAUAAUGUGUCAAAAUGAAAAGCGGAACCGGGCCGCUUAUGAGUUUGGCCAAUAUUAAAUAAAAGACCCUUCGGGUGACUUGGUUGAACACGGGACUUCUCAAAUGGAACUUCUCAUAUGUCGUCAUACGUGCAGUUGAAAGGGUGUGUAUGACAGUAUGAGUUAAAAAAUAUAUAUAUAUUCGAUGCUGCUCAUUCCUCAUCAUUUUGUGCUCAUAAAAUGAUGGGUCCUCUUCAAAGAAAUGUUAUUUCGGUACUUACGAAUAAUACAUUAUGUAAUCUAUAUUUUAUUCGAGAGGGAUCA